UACGUAGGAGGCGAGCGUUGUCCGGAGUUACUGGGCGUAAAGCGCACGCAGGCGGUCCUAUUAGUCUGGGGUGACAGUUCCCGGCUUAACCGGAAAAGGACUCUGGAAACUGUAGGACUUGAGGGCUUCAGAGGGAUGUGGAAUUCCAGGUGGAGUGGUGAAAUGCGUAGAUAUCUGGAGGAACACCGGUGGCGAAGGCGGCAUCCUGGACCGGCACUGACGCUGAGGAGCGAAAGCCAGGGGAGCAAACGGG
rnacentral:rRNA from 1 species